GAUGAAGAACGCAGCGAAGUGCGAUAAGUAAUGUGAAUUGCAGAAUUCAGUGAAUCAUCGAAUCUUUGAACGCACCUUGCGCCUUUUGGUAUUCCGAAAGGCACACCUGUUUGAGCGUCAUGAAUACCUCAAUCUCCAUCUUUUCUUCGGAUUGAUGGGUGACUUGGAUGUUGAGCCCUGCUGGUAUGCUAUAUUAGCUGGCUUUAAACUUAUUAGCCGGCUCUGUACUGGAUCGGUUUGACUCGACGUGAUAAUAUUAUCGUUGAGGAUGCAUGUCUCAUGCAGCCGGAAAGUAUCAAAGCAGCUUCUAGCUUGCCUUUAGUGCACUUUUACAUUUUAGACCUCAGAUCAGGUGGGACUACCCGCUGAACUUAAGCAUAUCAAUAAGCGGAGGA
rnacentral:misc_RNA from 1 species